UACAGAGGUCUCAAGCGUUGUUCGGAAUUACUGGGCGUAAAGCGCGUGUAGGCGGCCCUGCAAGUCGGAUGUGAAAUCCCACGGCUCAACCGUGGAAGUGCAUUCGAAACUGCAGGGCUAGAGUCCUGGAGAGGAAGGUGGAAUGCUUGGUGUAGAGGUGAAAUUCGUAGAUAUCAAGCGGAACACCGGUGGCGAAGGCGGCCUUCUGGACAGUGACUGACGCUGAGACGCGAAAGCGUGGGGAGCAAACAGG
rnacentral:rRNA from 1 species